UACGUAGGGUGCAAGCGUUAAUCGGAAUUACUGGGCGUAAAGCGUGCGCAGGCGGUUUUGUAAGUCUGAUGUGAAAGCCCCGGGCUCAACCUGGGAAUGGCAUUUGGGACUGCAAGGCUUGAGUGCGGCAGAGGAGACUGGAAUUCCUGGUGUAGCAGUGAAAUGCGUAGAUAUCAGGAGGAAUACCGAUGGCGAAGGCAGGUCUCUGGGCUGACACUGACGCUCAUGCACGAAAGCGUGGGGAGCAAACAGG
rnacentral:rRNA from 1 species